AGAAAAUGUAAGUAUUAAGUAUUACUUCUCAGUGUAUCUAGCAAUUAUCCUAUUAUAUCCCUAGCUCUUUGCUGGGGAGAGGAGAGCCUCACUGUCUGGUGGCAUGCACUCCACUUGCCCUAUUAAAAUGAAUCGAACUUUCGAUGAAUUUCCACAAUGGCAUAUUUUCAAUGCCGUCUAUUAUGCAAGAAAGCAAGCUUCCUAACUCUUCCACAACGUUCCCUGGACUGUAGCUGACCUGGAGCUGAAAAGAUUCCUUUAUUGUGCAUAGCCUUUUGCUGUAUCUAUUCAUAAAGUAUUUUGUCAGCCAUUAUGAUAAUCAUUUAUUUUUUUGUUUUUUUGUUUCUGCUUCUGGUAAAAAAGAAAAACUACCAAGAAUGUAUUUCCUUUCCCUUUGUGUAUAUUUUUGAGUGUUCACAG